GAGGGCACGCUUAGAGCCCUCGUCGGGCGUGUUAAUAGCGACUGUCAUUUGGCCUGGACAGCGUGGUUAGAGAAUC
rnacentral:ncRNA from 1 species